rnacentral:lncRNA from 1 species
CAGACCCUUUUUUGCCUUCGGCCUUUCGCCAAAAAGUCGUGCGUGACAUGUUUGCGACGAAGGAGGUCUCGGAGGUCACCAAGCGCUUGAUGGGUGGGUGAUGAUAGCGCCACAAAGGAAUUAUACCAAAUUAACAUAGACGAAAUGCACGGGGUAAUGAAAAGGUUGUGGCACUGGCUAUAUCCUUGCACGUCGCACGUCUGUGUGCCCCCAAACCAGUUUCGUUGGCCUCCAAACCCCGCCAUGGUCAUCUCGUGCUUCCCGCAUGACCCAUAAUACGUUGCGAGCCCCACGAUUUGACAAGCGCGGCCAUGGGCAGCUGCAUGCUGUGGUCGAAGAAAGUUUACUGAAGUGGAUUUUAUUUUUGCCUCUGUCGCAUCCUGCACGACACGUCCUUCUGAUUUUGCCCACAACAGAGGCGCUGGCGGAGGAGAACAGCCUUAGCGCCAUUGUGCAGGUCACUCUGGCAUAUGAAGAGCUGAUGCUGGCGCACAAGAAGGAGGUGCACUGCACGGUCGUCACUGCGCAGGUGGGUCAGCUUGACGGCUUGAUGCUGUCGAUGCAAGGGGCAGUCUGGUGGACACAUGGAUUGGUGGCUUUUCGUCCGAGAGUCUCACAAUAAGCAGAAAUGUCAUGUUGGGCUAUGUGAUCCUUUUUACGCGCCCUGGCCACCUCCGACCAGCUCAAGGUCGCAGGCCGCGACAAGUAAGGGUUCGGUUCAGGUGUUUCGCAUUGAAGCGCAUUCGCAUUGAAGCGCAUUCAAGAGCAGUAGCUAGGGAGCAGCCUGACGGACGUGGGGGCAGCGACGAGCGCCUCCCAAGGCGGUAAUGCAGCCGGAACUAAUCCUUGGCUUCCUUCAUGCUGGGCUGUUUCUGUGGCGGCGGCAGCAGCGGCGUCUGGAGGAGGGGUAAUGGUAGUUUGGGACUCACGGCAGUGCCCUGGCGUCAAGCCCUAGAAAGUACCCCAGACUGUACAUGGCGAACGGUACGAGUAUUUUUUUACCAAGGGAGGAGCAUCACCAGCAGCCGUACCUCAUCUUCAAUCAGCAGCAGCAGGUCAGCAAGCAGCUGUUGUUGUAGCAAGGGAACGCUGGUGGCUCUGGUGGCACAUGGGGAGCUUGCCACAGUCACGGGCAGCGGAGCUGUGUCUGCUGAUAGCGCCGCUUUGGGUUCUUCCCUGAUGGUCUACCUGCGUAAUGGCCCAGACCUAAUGUCUCGCAUAUGUAUGUAAGGGUUGUCGAGUGCCCGCACUCGUAAAUUGGAGGGAAGCACAGGAUCAUUGGGAUCAAGACUACAAAUGGUGGUGUGGCAGAAUCCUUUUUUAUGUAUGGUGGAUCAAGGCUCGUCCGUCAUCCUGCCGUCGCACUGCCUGUUCUGUAUUUGUGGCAUUCUUUUCGCCCAAGUUUGUUGCAUUGGGUCGUGGACAGCAUGCAGUUCCUAGAGUUGGGAACCAGUUACGUAUCUUUCUUCAACACGGGUGGUAGCUUCAAGGCAGCUCAAGUGACGCACCUUUAGCUGACGUGUCCACUCCAUUCAGUGGUCUCGGAGCACGGCAGCGUGGCGAACUUUUGGACCGUUUGCUUUCUAGUAUUCAGUUGGGGAGAGGUUGAGUAGCACGUCUUGAGCGCGCGUGCGCCUCAGCGCGCAGUGAAGCAUGGUCCCAGCCGUCGCCUGCCAGCUGAGGCUCCAUUGCCGCUUCAUCUGAGCGCAUGUCGCUGAAGAAGCUUUGGCGGACAAUUGCAGCUCAUGGUGCAACUCCCUGGUGGUGGACGUCGCCUUUGCACACGCAUCCAAUGAGCCUGGCCGCCUGACCCUGAUAUAAGCUGCUGGUGCCCUAUUCCCACUGCGCUGGCAUGCGCCUGCUUAACCUGCUUAAACCAGACUCGUCAAUUAUUUCGAUUUGUCCCCGCACUCCCGCAGCCUCUGGACGACGCCGAGCGUGCGGUGUUCACCAAGCAAGCCCAGGCCUUUGUUGAGCCCGGCUUCAAGUUGGUCAUGAAAGAGAAGGUAAGACGCGGUGGUUUUGAGCGCGUGGGGAUGUAACGGAGGGGGACGCAGAUUCUGCGUGGUGAGGAACUGUAAGAGUGGUUGGCGUGUGAAUGACGGUGCGUGCAACGCACUAUAAGCCGCUUGUGCCAUUGCGCUAGCGGAUGUUCCUGGGCGGACGGCAGAGUCGCCCUAAUGCUUGGGAAUUGGCGCCUAGCGCACAGGAACUCGCCUGCAGUACGCUGUUGCGGGUGUUCCCGGGCGCCUUCUUAACACGCAGGGCAGUCGUCCACAGCCAGAUUCAGCUGACAGCGUCCAGGCAGAGGUAUCUAGGGAUUGGGGGGGGGCACGUGAGGCAACAGCAGCAGCGGGAGGCAUUUUGUGGGGAAAUGAGGCAACCGACGGACUACCACACUAGAUGCUGUGGGGCUGUAGCAUCAACCCCAAGAUGCAACCGAUCUGCACCAAGUUUUUCUCGGAACAGACACUGGUGUUCAAAACCCUAAGACCGGUCUUUGGUUGCGAGCAGCUCCCCGAAGACUGGGCGACUGAGCAUACGACUUGUGCAGCUGGUAUGCAAUGCGCUGAGGGACGGAUUUCGCAAGAUGAGCGCUGUCCAUAAUUUCCAUUUUAUUAAAUUAGGAAGCCCAAGGGUUGAAGGGUUGCUUCGGCGCAACCUGAGAGGUUUUGUCGUCAAAACAAGGUGGCGAGUAGCUCCAGAGAUACGUGUUGUACAGUAUAUGGAGUAUUUGGCCUACCACCAGCUAGUCCAACAAACGUACUCUCAACGAAGACGAAGCGCGAAACCUAGUUCUAGUUCAAGUCCGUCUCUGGCCAGUGUUUAUUCCCCCACAGCUGCGUCUUAUGACGCAUCGGGGUAUGCAGCCAGAUUAGCGUUCGUGUUUGAUUGUUACUGCUAGCACCUCACCUCGUUAUUUCCCCCUUCCUGUCGCACUGGUCCUACAUGUUUUGACAUAUGUGUGUACCGCGUUCGUGAGGCUAUUGCACACGAGUUCCGUUGGAUUGUCCGCUCCCGCCUUGGCGGACCCGCUUGCUGAAUGUUGAAGGGCCGUGAGAGCGCGAAUUACCUUCUCAUACGGGCUUUUGUUCCACGUAUGGGCGUUACAACUUACAGACUUUCAACCUUUACCCAAGCUUGCCCAACUGCUGUGUCGCACUUUCAUAGGUGGACCGCAAGCUGCUGGGUGGCUUUGUCCUGGAGUUUGAGGACCGCCUUGUGGACAUGAGCAAGGCCAAGAAGCUGGAGGAGUUCAACAACCUCGUCACCAAGCUGGAGAACGACCUCAAGUGAUGUCCUUGAGAACCUCACACGCGGCAUGGAUGUGUGACGUGAAGGAGGCGCACGGAAGGGUUCUUUCAACUUCCUGGCUGCUCUCUCUUUACGCGUCGGCAGGUAUCGGAUCAUUUCCAGGGUUGCGGCUCGGUGGUUGUGCUGCUGCCCAAUGCACAGUCCAUGAGGAAGCGCGUGCGCUAGUGCAUGGAGUGUUUCUUUAUCCUUAGCGGAAUUAGUUUGGAUUUUUGCAUCGUCAAUGGCGCCUUGCACGGUAACACGGAAGCGUGCGGGUUGCAAGGAGGCGUCAAGAUACUGAGGUCGGAUUAGCGGUGCAGGUUCACACCUCCGUUGAACCUUCGAUGCUUUGCCCGCGCUUUGCCUGUUGCCUUGCUUGGGCGUUGCUGGAAUUUGCCAUGACAUUAAGGCUGCCUGCUCGCAUGGCCUCUGUAAUGUUUGAAAGGGCAUAGCUGAGGAGCCGGCUGGGUUGGUGGUGCUCGCUCCGCCUGUGGCUAACGCGGUGUGCUGUUUUAUUCCUAAUGCCCGGAAAUGCAUUCGUUUGGCUUCCGUUGCUUGCUGUCCUGCGUAUAGAUAUGCGCUGGCAGCUGUAAAGGGAGGGUUCCUUCACACCUAAUGGAAAGCGCGGCAUGCAGCAUUUCGGUGAAGAGAGUCCCAUUCAAUCGAUUCUGCAGGAAUCUAUCGGUGGAAGUUUUGCCCAUUUUAGCCGCAUGGGCUACCAGUCCGCACUACUCCGUACGUCCGUACUUCGUCCGCAGUGACGAAGGCGUGUGUGACCCGUUAAUGCAGCCCAUCAUCCUCACUCCACGAAGCCUGAGAUUGGACAGAAGUACAUCGCAGUGGAUCCGGCUGGAUGGCAAUUCUCGCGAGUCCCUCCUCUCCGCGAGUUUCAAACGUUCCGCCGAGCAUCUGUUGGACCAGACUUGCUUUACGUUGCAAAUGUUUUGGGGCGAACCCCAAAAGAAGGAGAACAAAUGUGUGGCCUGACAUGCGGGUGUCGAGGACAACUGUGUUUUUCACACACGUUGAGAGCCCACGUAAAAGGAGGGGAGGCUGCACGGUUAAAGCGAAUCUGGGUGAGGUGUGGACGUGAUAUCCGCUGAUGUCGCUGAGCACCAAAGGACAUGGCCGAGGGAUGAAAAUCUGAUUGUGCAGCUAGGUAUAUGGUUGCGGGGACCCGGACAGCCGACUUGGGGUACCUGGAAUGCCUCUUGUAGACAUGCUUGCAUACGUACAGGAGUGCCCAUACGCACGGAAUGCCCCCGUGCCGUUCACCCAGGUGGACUGCACUGCGCUGCCCCCCUGCUCGCUGUGCGAGUAGUAUUAUUGGCCGCUGGGUUAAAGCCGCUUCGACUCAUGUGUUUUGUUAUCGGCAGGUGUAAGUAACAGCGAUAGGACACGCCGUUACUCAGCGGCAUCGUAAGCCGUUGUGAGAAUGCUAUUUGUUACAGCCGACCCCGAACGGGUCGAGUGCAGCGCCCCAAGGAACGCCUCCCGCACAACACUGUGGGCCUUAUUCACAAAGAACUUGGCCAGACCGUACUAACUUCACUGGACACAAAACCUCAGUUGUUGUUGUUACAUGGUCGUGGGUGCGUUCCCCGUACCUGCAAAGCACCCAAAUACGAGCCGAGGGCUCAAGGGCUGCCAGAUCGCCUAUAAGCACCAUCCUACCUCGCACUUCAAACGAAACGAGUGAUAAAGGAGACUAUCGACCAAAGGGAACGAUAGAGUUGCGGUGGGGACCAUAUACGUUCCAGCAUCCUUGCCAGGCGUUCAGGUUCCCACUUCAUAGCGUCCUUCAUGUGCUCGAAGCGUGGGAAAUCCAUAUCAGAUCUGAUUUUGUCGUACACCGGAGAGUCCAGCAAGAUGUGCUUCUCAUCCUCGAUAUGACUAUCAGUGCCGCAGCAAGGACAUACUCUAGGUAUAUAAAGCCGUCCCUUACGCGCUCCGUUAGCCGCCAAUGCCCAACAGCAAAGCCUAAACUGCAUAAGCUUGCGAUUCGCUGAACGCGGGAUAAACAUUGUGACAUGCGGGAGCACCUCCUUCCUGCCCGCUUGUUCGGCCGCCAGACCCAUCCAAUGCUUAUACUUCGCCAUGUGAAUUCCUGGUUGCUUGCCGUCUGACGGGUACACGUCUGGCUGACAUCUAAACGCGUAUGCUUCCAACCACUCACUAAUCGGUCCUCGAACUCCCAAACCACACCUUCACACUAUUCAUCAGCCACUCCACUCGUUCGUCUACCUCGUGUAGCCCUUGCGGGGCCUCUUUCCAUACGUCGUGCCCAUAUAAACAUAGAAAACGGAGGAGUAGUGUCCCCCAUCCGGCCCUUCGGGGUUGGAGAGGGACUCUGCGACCUCCUGUCGCAAAACUUGGUGUGCCACAGACCCACGCUGUAAACGGACAUGAUUCCAAAACCUCACAACCUGCUUGAAAACGUGGUAGUGUUGGGGUAGCUGCGACAGCUCUGCAAACAGGAGGCGGUGUGUUGGUCUGGCAGCUCCUACAAUUUGUCGCACGAAAGAUAUCUGAAGCUGCACCGCUCUGUCCUUUAGGCAUGCCUCGAAGGGCCCCUCCGCAAGGUUACUCGCAUCACUCCGCCUCCUGAGCCUGUCCAAGACCUCAGCUAGCAUAAACGGCCCCCACGCUUGACAACCAUACAACAGUAUUGCUCGUACCUGGGUAUCGAAACACCUCAUCCUCACAUCUGGUGCGAACAACUUUAGCUUAUCUAAUUUUGCACUCAACGCGAACAUAGCUGCCCUAGCUGUGUCAUACAACUGCUGCCCUAUGCAUAGGAAAGGCAGGGAAGCCAUCAAGGGCUAGCCUCAAAGGGCUUUUUUGGGCGAGGCCCCGGGCGCGAAGGUCCUAAUGCCAUGUGCGCGUUAGCUGCCGCCGCCUGAGUUAUCAUGAAUGGCCAACUUGCGGUGGCUCCUUCAGAACUUGAGGGCGAGGAGAUUGAGCUUGGCCAGGCUGUUCAGCCAUCUGAAGAUCAGGAACGUCAAGGGGAGGUUGUUGACCAGCCGCCGAUGGUUAUGACGAUUCGCGCCACUCAGGCUUUGGGGCAUUUGGCUUCUCUGCCUGGCGCUAUCUCUGAGUUUUCCAGCUCUCUUCCAACGUUUCAAGCAGAUGUGCGUGCCGGAUACGCUUCUAAUCCUUGUUUUGCUAACCAUUCCAAUCUCGCUACUCUUACUCAGCGUGAUGGGUUCUGGUUUCGUGAGCACGCUUUGGUGAUUCCUGAUGCGAAAGACCUCCGUCUUUCGAUCCUUCGACUUUGCCAUGAUCAUCCCAUGGCUGGUCAUUUCGGUGUUACUAAAACGUUAUUUAGACUUAGUCCGACGCCAUUACUGAGACCCCUCCUCUUGAAGGUAAGGUAAAGGAAGACUCCUCCUAAUAACGGAUAACCCCCGUCUUCACGCCAUUUACCAACCCACUAACCUGUGUUGAGAUUACCCCUGCGAGCCCGCUGACCUCAUUCCCCAUUUCCCCGCCUCCAUUGGUCUCCCCCACCAAGCUCUCCGCCGCAUAAGGCCAGCCAAAAGCAAGCAAAAGGCAACCAUUUUUCGAACUCCCACCAAAAUCACCCCCCACUUCACCCCUCCGCCCCCAGCCCCAGGCUCUUGGGCCGUAUGAAGGCGCGCAGCGGCUCCGCUCUGCCUUGUCGAUCGCGACCCAGUCCGUCUCCGGCUGACCAGCCCAUGCGAGCCAUCAGUCGGGAGCCGAUGCCUGAAGAGGGGGAGGAAGCGGGAGGAAAGAAGAGUCAUCUGCAAAUGGCGGGAUGGAGAAGAGUGGCAGGGGAAACGGGAUGACAGCACCCCAACCCAACCCAACCCGGGGAAGGGAGGCCCUCUCACGCUCACCCACGCGCUUCGCGUUCUUCGCGAACACGCUCGCCCACCUGUUGGCAUUUUACUUGCCGCGCCUCACCUCACCUCACCUCACUCCCCGUCGCCCACCUCGUCUUGCCCAGCGCGAUUUUAACAGUAUCAUUCAAUCCCCUCAAGGCCGCAUUGGCCCCCCCAUCUCUCCCCUUUCCGUGGCCCCUUUUUUCCCUCCACCGCUCCCCUCCACCGCUCCCCAACCACGCCACCCGGCCAUUAUCUCCUGGGCCCCCUGCCACGCGCCAACGGCUCACCAGUGCCAUGACGCUCGAAGGAAGCAUACUCGUAGCUGAGGGAGGCAGGGCAGGCCGUUUCCAUUCCAGGGCUGUCGCCCACAGGAAGGAACGACUCAGGAGUACCCUGCUGUGGCGACUGUUCGUGCUCCUGCGGGUAGUGCUGCUGCUGGCGCUGCUGCCGGCGCGCCUCCUUGGCUGCCUUUCUAGCGAUUGCCUUGGCCUGGGGGUUGUAAGGGUCCUAGGGGGCUUAAGGGUUUUAUGAUUUAAGAGAGGCGACGAAUAGGAAGGGGAACGAAGUUAAACUAGGUGAUGCUGGUAUCGGGUAUCUGAUGGCUGAGAGCUCUCGAAUUUUCGUCAGGAAUACGGGCCUGUUUUCAUUACGUUACGUUUCGUUACUCCUGUAAACCCCCACCACAACCCUCUUGCGGCCGGAACACGAGUUCCUUUCGCCGUACAACCCGUACCUGCUGUGCCGUACGACCCAACUCACUGCCCGCCGCCGCCGCACCCGCCGCCGUGUUCAAAACCACCGCUCUCGACAGCGCGGAAAGCCGCUGAUUCGCGCCGCCACGGCCACUGGCGCCGUGGCUGCUGCUGCUGCUGCUGCCAGCCACCACCGCCCCACCUGUGCCUGCCCUGCCUUUCCUUUGCGGCUUCACUCGGGCCCGCGGUACAGUUUUCCAUUCCCCCUCGUCUGCGACCUGAUCAGGCAACUCCUGAUCAGGCAGGUCCACUUUCCCGCCCAAAUCUGCACCUCCUCCCUCCUCCGCCUCCACGUCCUGCUGCUGCUGCUGCUGCGGCGGCGGCACCUCCAGAGACGCGGUCGUACGGUCACUGUACCGAAAUCCUAAGCCGCGGUGGCCUUUACCGUCGUCACCGACACCGGCGGCGGCGACGGAAGGCGACACCGCCGCUGUUGUUCGCCUGUCAUGCAUCUGUCGAUCCUCGGCAUCGUAACCGGGACCCAGGCGAAAGUGCGCACGAAAGUACGACACGCCACCAGCUUGUACGACAGGCCGUGGGUCCCCGUCACCACCAACACCAGUGUGGGUGCCAGUGCCCAGCGUCGGCUCUGUAACGGGUACGAACGAGGGGGGCCAAGGAGGGACAAUACCGCCGCAAAUACCGACUGUAGCGACAGUAGCAGCAGUAGGCUGACGGUUUCCAUCCUCCUGCUGCUGCUGCUGCUGCUGGCGGCCUCCUACCUCCCCCUGAUCCUCCUGAUCCUCAGUUCGGGACCUGAAGCCCAGGCCACCGAAUGCCUCCGCCAGCCAGUCACGCUGGGCAUCCGUCAUACCGAGGCCCCGGUGUGUCUGCAGCUCCUCUUCCUCCUCUUCCUGCUCACUCUCCUCCCCGUCAGGAGGCUCCUCAUCGUUCUCCUCAUCGUCCUCCUCAGACUCUGAAACAGACCCAUCAUCGCAGACAUUAUGGUAAUUAUCAUCGUCAUCAUUAUCGUCAUCAUUAUCAUCAUCUGCUUCCUCACGCCCAGCUUUCGGUGUCACUACCGGGCGCCGGCGGCGGCGGGUUGUGCCGCCGCCACUGCCGUCGCCGUCGCCGCCACCGCCAGCGCCGUCGUCGUUGUCAUCAUCAUCGUCGUCGUCGUCGUCGUCGUCGUCGUCCUUCUGCUGCUGUUGUCGAAGCAGUUGCUGGUGCUGGUCAGGGUCCUCUUCCCACACACCGCCGCGUACGAACGCCACGGGAUGGCUGUAGCUGCCGCCGGUACGACUCUUUUUCCCGCCGCUACCUGUCGCCGCUGGGGUCCUCCCAGCGCCGCCCCGCCGGCGUGUCGCCGCCACUGAUGCAGGUGUGACAUCCUGAAGCGCCAUCCCCGCCGGGCCGACACCGGCACCGGCGGCAGCGCCACGCUGCUGUCGUACGAGCUCAGCCGCCACUAUCUUGUCCACCUAUUGGCGCGGGGUGUGUGAAGGGGAGAGAGGGGCGAAGGGAAGGGACGGAUAGGUGUGAAUAAGUACCCCCACAAACAAUAUCGUACCCCCACAAGGCAUAACACAGAUAAUUGACUUUUUCUCGGUUCGCCUUGGACGCGCAAAAGCGCUGCAAGUAUAUAGUAGAGGCGCCUUGUAGAAUUGAUUACGCUGAUCUCUUUAGUCAAAGGCGAAAGAGAUGUAAGAAUCGCAGUCAAUUCAGAGCAUCUUCGGCAAUGUAAAACAUGCCUGUCCUACCCAGAACCAAAUUUUGUGGCGCAUUCUCGAGCGCGAUGGUGGGUCGGUGCUCAGUAGCAUCGUUGAAUUUCUAGACAUCUCCCCACUGCCGAACUUUGAACAUCCACAGAUAGUACCACCCAGUUAAACAUGCAAAACUGCCGUACGCUGCCGUACGCCAGCUGCAAAAAUGCCGUACACGCAUGCGCACGCGACCACACCUUAACGCGGGUCGAAUCAUCGUGCGCCUUGGUUCGGUCUGUCGGUUGCAGCAGCAAAAACUUGUGCUUGCGAGCGCCCUGUUAUUUUGAGAGUGAGAGUAAGAAGAGUUUAAGGAGGUUUAAUAUUUAAUUUUAAGAGACGGGCUCAGGAUACUUUCAAUGCAGAGCACAGUGAGGCAAUAGUGGGGAAGCAAAAGUGUGAGAGUAGAAGGACUCAGAGGACGCACAGAAACAGAAACAGAUCGUAGGCUUUGCACAUCCCCUACAUUGGAUAUACAUACAUAUAUACGUGUGUGUGGAACAGGGGGGUCAUAUCUUCACCCUGCGGCAGCUACCCUGCGAAACCCUGCCUUCCCCGGUAUUUUGGGGCACCCUCAUCCAGUCACCCUAGUCAACUUCUCAAUGGAUCGCCCAGGUUCCGCACCCACCACCGGCAUCCAACGGAAUCUGCCGGAUCGACAGCGGCCCAACUCCGUUCCUGUUCGGCUCGCGGGUUAACUUAAUCCCAGGUCACCACCGUCCAUCAAGUAGGGGCACUUUACCAUCCUCCAUCGGAAGGACUUUUGACCCUGAUGGGUAUCGAUCCCGGGAUUACCCGGGGGCAAAGGUCGUGCCUUACCAGUAGUGCCUAAAUAUAGAUAUAUAUACACAUAUACAUACAUAUAGAUAUACAUACAUACACCACCCGAUCCAUGUCGGUUUCAGAAGAUGCGCUGCGGUGUGCCGAUGCGGUGAGAAAUUAUUGCCUAAGAGCGCUUUGAGCUUAGUAUGUAGGGCAGGGCUCGGGCGGGGUAUGGGAGUUGAAGGGGGAUAGAGGUUGGAGGUAAGGGAAUAGGAGAGAGGGCGCCGCGCGGGCUACUAUCCUCCCCCUGCGGUAUUCUGGAGGGUCUAGGAGCUGUGUGUCGCGGCUACGUUGUCCCGCUUGUGGUCUCGCCGGUCUGUGCCGGGCACCUGCAGUGGUGGCACCUCGGGCUUGUGCGUGGUCUCUUUCCUUUGGUUUGGUUACUUCUCGCCUGGACCAGCCCAGGAAGGGACAGGUAGAGGAGGU